GACGUAGGGCGCGAGCGUUGUCCGGAAUUAUUGGGCGUAAAGAGCUCGUAGGCGGCUUGUUGCGUCGGCUGUGAAAUCCCGGGGCUUAACUCCGGGCGUGCAGCCGAUACGGGCAGGCUAGAGUCCGGUAGGGGAGACUGGAAUUCCUGGUGUAGCGGUGAAAUGCGCAGAUAUCAGGAGGAACACCGGUGGCGAAGGCGGGUCUCUGGGCCGGUACUGACGCUAAGGAGCGAAAGCGUGGGGAGCGAACAGG
rnacentral:rRNA from 1 species